AGCUCACAAGCACAUCUCUGCCAUUGCUCAAAAAAAUUAAGGUGGAUGAAAGCUUAUCGGUUAAGUGCUGAGUAUGAUAAUGGAGUGACUGAAUUUCUACAGUUUGCUGAAAAGAAUCUUCCAAACACUUAGGGACUUUUUCCAUGUCCUUGUGUUUCUUGUGGGAACCCGGACCCAAAACUUAGCGAGGAAGAAAUUAAGGGCCAUCUAGUUUGGGUAGGGAUUUGUCAAAAUUAUACCCAAUGGAUAUGGCAUGGUGAAACUAUGAUGACAAGUGUAUCCCAACAAUGAAGAUCUUUGUACAUUUGUUCAUUUGUUCAAAGGAUAAUACAUUGGUUGUUCAUUUGUCAAAAUUAUACCCAAUUAAUCGUCAUUUGUCCAAAGGAUAAUACAUUGGUUGUUCUUUGUUCAUUUAACAAAGAUCUUGACACAACAAUGAAGGAAAUUGUUUCAGCUGCUCUGGAGGUUCAUCAAUUAGCAAACGGUAAUAAAAAAAAGGUUUGUUGGCUUCGUCCUAAGGCAAGGAUGCAACCUAACACAAUUGAUUGUGGAUAUUAUGUGAUGAAGAACAUGCUAUCGUCUCUGCUAAUAUUACUAUCUCUUGGAUGA